GAUGAACGCUGGCGGCGUGCCUAAUACAUGCAAGUCGAGCGAACAGACGAGGAGCUUGCUCCUCUGACGUUAGCGGCGGACGGGUGAGUAACACGUGGAUAACCUACCUAUAAGACUGGGAUAACUUCGGGAAACCGGAGCUAAUACCGGAUAAUAUAUUGAACCGCAUGGUUCAAUAGUGAAAGACGGUUUUGCUGUCACUUAUAGAUGGAUCCGCGCCGCUUUAGCUAGUUGGUAAGGUAACGGCUUACCAAGGCAACGAUGCGUAGCCGACCUGAGAGGGUGAUCGGCCACACUGGAACUGAGACACGGUCCAGACUCCUACGGGAGGCAGCAGUAGGGAAUCUUCCGCAAUGGGCGAAAGCCUGACGGAGCAACGCCGCGUGAGUGAUGAAGGUCUUCGGAUCGUAAAACUCUGUUAUUAGGGAAGAACAAAUGUGUAAGUAACUAUGCACGUCUUGACGGUACCUAAUCAGAAAGCCACGGCUAACUCCGUG
rnacentral:rRNA from 1 species